AGUAUGACAUAUUGACGACAUGACCCGUAUCUCGCCAUUUUCUGUGUUUCUUUGUUUUAUAAGUGCGUGACUCAAUGACGUUUUUAUUAAUUUGAAAAGUGGAAAAUGAAAUUUAAAGCUAGUUAAAAUAGUUAAGUGACGUGCAUCAACCACCUGCUGGCAGAACUGGAAUUUCACAAGCACAUUGCACAAAAAAUUGCCCAGAAAAAGAUAAUGGGGAGGGCAUUAAAACAUGUCGCGGCAUGCAAAUGAGAGACUA